AAUACAACUGCAGAAGUCCUGCCAGAACAGCAUGUUGCUUCCUCCACCAUCCUGUCAAAGUCACAUCUGAUGAGGAUGUCUACUCUGUACCACCCUGACCUACCUGUUAGGAGGACGGAUUCUGAACUGGAUGAUUAUGGACACUGAUUUUCUUUCCUCUUCAAAAUUACUGUCUCCAAACUAAGAGAUUCAAAGAGGCUGGAACCUACCUCUCCUGCUGACUGUGAAUGAAGACUGCAGUAUAUUCAGCUACAAGUCCAUCUGCUCUUUAACUUUUUUUUUUAAAUUCUAUCUAAGAGUGUUUUUCCUUUGAAGUUUCUAGCACCAUUUAUGAAGGCUCAAAAGGAGUAUUAUUCAUAUGUUUCAGAUGAGGAAAGCUAAACUGUCAAAGUAACAUCUGACUUGAGAGUAGCCAGUAUUCUCCAAGGCAUCAGCAUUUAAGAGGACCUGAGAAAAGAUCCUGUGCCUACCAGGAAAUUUCACUGAUCUCAUCAAGCCACAAAACUCAGGAAGGAGGAAAAAUCUGCACAAAUUAAGAAGUGCCCAGUAGAUCAUGCUGUCUUGUUGAAAACUCCAGUGGUAACUGGGCUUCUAUGGGAUUAUUUUUAGCAGUAAAAGAGUAGAUGGUGUAAGAUAAGUGAAGAGGGAUUCCAUAAAUAGCUGCAUUUCAAUUGCCUGUUUGGCAUCAUCUAAUUGUUACAACAAACAGCACCAAAUGACAAAAAUGAACACCUUUCUACUCAGAAGAUAAACUGUUUUUAAAUAGAAAGGAAUGAAACCUAGGUCUAUCAUUUUUAGAAUCCCAGUGAACUAAAAUGGACAGGACUGGAGAAGCAGAGACACCUGAGCAGCUUUGAAGACAUUUCUCUGGCGUGUUCUUACUGACUCUGAGACCUAUUUCCAACCACAGUGUCUGCUCAUCCUAGUGCAGCACCCUUCAGACCUACCUUCCCCAUAGGAUUCAGCAGACAUGGUUGAGCAAAGAGCUAAGCACAAGCUGGAUCUACAGAGCCUCAGGAGGAAUCCCAGGCAAACAAUGCACUUGGGUGAAGACAUCUCAACAACAGCCAG